CUUUCCCAAAGUUUCUGAAAGUUGGCAUAUGUUUAAUUUGCAAGAAAUUACGUUUUCUGGCCUUAUUUCACAGUGGCAGUGCCUUCCUGUUUUCCUGCAUCUCUUCUUACUUUGGAAAAGCUGGGAGAGGGACCAGAGCCAGCUGCAGAACAAGCUUUUGUCACCGUGUAGUCUAUGAAAUGCGGCCUGUCAUCUGACGAGUGCUAAGCAAAGUCUCCUUAUUAAGACAGAAGCAUUUGGAUGGCGGAGUAUUACGUUUCAUUCUGGACAGCUUAAAUCCAAGGAGGCUCUGCAGAUCAGAUGCAUCCGGCAGCACCAUCUGAGACAGGCUGCUCCUCAGCUCUCUAUCACGACACCGUUUUCAGCAAAACUGAGCAAAGUAGCCCAUACUGGUUGCUCCCAGUUUGACCACUUCUGUGAGCUGAGUGAUGGUCUUUGC